CUUGCUGUCAAUUCUUUGUGUCUCUUGUCCCUUCAUUCACCAUUCCCGCUUCUAGGGUCUCUGCUGAAGAUCCCGCUGGCCGUGACAGUUGCCCACUACCAUUUGCAUUUGGCAGAAUGAAGAUAGGCCAAGGAGACCAAGACCCUUGUAGUGCACAGCACAGAAGACUUCAGGGUGCCCUGAACUGAAGUGCUUGCGAGUGACUCAUCAGAAACAAGAUCUCCUAUGUGACUGGUUUUCUGCAUUUCUCACAUCAACAUUGCAGAGUGCAAUUCAUUUUUUGGCUUUUUCUGGUUGUUCCUAAAUUGGAAGUUGGCUGGGAAUAGAAGGUUUCAGAGCCUGCAAACCCAAUAACGUAGGGAUAAAAGAAGACAGAAAAAUAAAUGAUACUGUUUCCGAGGUAUUAAAUAUAAGCCUGGCUAUCGGAGCAGCAUAGCAGUCACGAAUCGUAAUCAGGAGUGAAAAUAAAGACAGUUUAUGAGGAGAGAGAAAGACACUCUUAAGAAGGAGAAUAAGAUCAUGGACAGUGGGAACCUGCACUCUGAAUCCCAGUUUGAAAUCCCAACAGAUCAUUGACUAGAAAAUUUUAUGUGAAGUUGUGGAGUCUGGAAUGACUAUUUUAUGAAUAUAAAAUAUCGUUCUUUAGAUCUAUCUCCGGAAAUAAUCAUUAUAAACAGAAGUGUCAAAAUGGCAAUAUGAAAUAUGACCACCUUUAAAUGUAUCAACAAAAUGUCAAGAAAAAACAAAUGAGGCCUUAAUGGUAAACGUUUUGGCAGACUCCACAUUUACUCUAGAAAUGCUUUCGCUUAGAAUAUUUGCAAUUUCUAUUUUUUUUUUAGCCAUCUCUGUUAGUCAUCUGUGAAACACCUUGUUCUAUAGUUACACCAUACUUUCAGAUCAAAAGAAAUCAUCAAGCCUGACAUUAAAUGUAUUUACCAAGAUUAAA